GCAGGUUUCCAUUUGGUUUGAACCUACUUCGAAGAAAUAAUUUCAAGGCUUCCUAAGCUUCUACUUAAGUAUUUACACCUGCCGCUAGUUUAAAGGGUACGCAGAGGUGAACCAUCCAUUUCGCCAGCUAUACUGUAGGCCCCAUAUAAUAACCACUAGGGGUUCAACUCUCAAUUUCUAACAAGGUCAAGAAAUAAAGCCAUCUCUAAAAACUUUCACAUUUUUAAUAUCAAAUGGGACCUUACAACAGUAAUUGGUAACAUCAGCCUUUGGUUAAAGUGAAGCCGCUACACGAUUGAGAGCGGCUUUAAUUCUUAAUUAAUUUAAUUCUUAUAGUGGCAUAUGUGAAAUAUAUAUAGCUAUUAUUUACGCAGUUAUUAAGAAAAAAAUAUAUUUAAAUAAAUAAAAAAUAUAUAAUAUGA